GCAAGUCGAGCGGACGGAUGGGAGCUUGCUCCCUGAAGUCAGCGGCGGACGGGUGAGUAACACGUGGGCAACCUGCCUGUAAGACUGGGAUAACUUCGGGAAACCGGAGCUAAUACCGGAUAAUGCACAGCCUCUCAUGAGGCUAUGCUGAAAGAUGGUUUCGGCUAUCACUUACAGAUGGGCCCGCGGCGCAUUAGCUAGUUGGUGAGGUAACGGCUCACCAAGGCAACGAUGCGUAGCCGACCUGAGAGGGUGAUCGGCCACACUGGGACUGAGACACGGCCCAGACUCCUACGGGAGGCAGCAGUAGGGAAUCUUCCGCAAUGGACGAAAGUCUGACGGAGCAACGCCGCGUGAGUGAUGAAGGUUUUCGGAUCGUAAAACUCUGUUGUCAGGGAAGAACAAGUGCCGGAGUAACUGCCGGCACCUUGACGGUACCUGACCAGAAAGCCACGGCUAACUACGUGCCAGCAGCCGCGGUAAUACGUAGGUGGCAAGCGUUGUCCGGAAUUAUUGGGCGUAAAGCGCGCGCAGGGCGGUCUCUUAAGNCUGAUGUGAAAGCCCACGGCUCAACCGUGGAGGGUCAUUG
rnacentral:rRNA from 1 species